rnacentral:ncRNA from 1 species
GCUGAAUAUGAUUCAAUAUCGCACGCUACUCAUCCAUCCAAGGAUAAUGAGUACAUAGGUUGAAGUUUCAACACCCCCACUACGGGGGUGUUUUUUUU